GCCCCUGUGGCCUAAUGGAUAAGGCAUCGGUCUCCUAAACCGGGGAUUGUGGGUUCGAGUCCCACGAGGGGUA
rnacentral:tRNA from 1 species